ACAAAUAUGAUGUGUUUAUAAGAUAAUCAAAAAAUAUGUGACCUAACUCUUAUUUUCUUUUCUCUUUUUUCCUCUUAUUCUUGUUCUUCUUCUUCUUAUUAUUAUUAUUAUUUUUUCCUCUUAUUCUCCUUCUCCUUCUUCUUCUUUUCUUCUCUUCUUCUUCUUCUUAUUCUUCUUCUUCUUCUUCUUCUUCUUCUUCUUCUUCUUCUUCUUAUUCUUAUUCUUAUU
rnacentral:lncRNA from 1 species